rnacentral:rRNA from 1 species
UGGGGGAUAUUGCACAAUGGGGGAAACCCUGAUGCAGCGACGCCGCGUGUGGGAAGACGGUCCUCUGGAUUGUAAACCACUGUCCCCAGGGACGAAUCUGACGGUACCUGGGGAGGAAGCUCCGGCUAACUACGUGCCAGCAGCCGCGGUAAUACGUAGGGAGCGAGCGUUGUCCGGAAUUACUGGGUGUAAAGGGAGCGUAGGCGGGAUGGCAAGUUGGGUGUUAAAUCUACCGGCUCAACCGGUAGCCGCACUCAAAACUGCCGUUCUUGAGUGAAGUAGAGGCAGGCGGAAUUCCUAGUGUAGCGGUGAAAUGCGUAGAUAUUAGGAGGAACACCAGUGGCGAAGGCGGCCUGCUGGGCUUUUACUGACGCUGAGGCUCGAAAGUGUGGGGAGCAAACAGGAUUAGAUACCC